AUAAUUCAUCGGUUCCACUUAAGAAGUUUACUUUGGACCAUUGUGGGUCGAGAUCGAUCGGUGCCAAGAGAAGCCAAUCGACUGUUGCGGUAAAAGAGUAUGCCAAUAUCGGAGACACACCAACACACUAAGGCUUCACAAGUUCUUGAGGGGACUAAAUCCCCAAUUUGAAGGAAUCAGACGGGAUAUUCUGAAAGAAAGUCCGGUGCCCUCAGUCGACGUCGCAUACGGGUGGGUGAAGCGGGAAGCCACACGGCUCAAGAUUAUGCCGCUGGCGAACUCCAACUCAACCGGCGCAAUGAACGGGGAUCCAUCAUCGGGCGGAGUAGGUUUCGGAUUCGGUUGGUCGGUUUUCCGGAGUGGUGGGAUGAGAACCAGAAGGCGAAGGCCAAAUUGGCCAUCGGAGUUGAAGAAGGCAGCGGUGGAAAUCACCACACACCGACUGGAGCCGGCAACCGCGAGGGAGCCAACGCUAGGGGAAGGAACGGCGACGGUGGCAGACGAGGUGAGGAGAUCAGAGAAGCUGCUUUCGCAAGGAUGGCGUGAGAUCCGUUGAGAAUGGAGGAUAUCAGGACGAGGAGGAUAAUUGGAUGUGGCACUGAGCGUCAAGGCCUCUACUAUGUUGACGAGAUGGCUCACCAAGGAAGUACCGCGAUGCUAGGUCACGGAUCUGCAUCUCGAGAAGCUUGGUUGUGGCAUCGACGAUAUGGUCACCCGUGACCUGGUUAUUUUAAAUUGCUUUUUCCCAAGUUUUCUCAUCUUAAGAACAUUGAUUGUGAGUCUUGUGUUUUCGUGAAAAGCCACGGACAGUCAUUUAAAUCUACUGAAACCCCUGGGUUAAAACUCUUUUUUCUUUGAUUCA